GAUCAAAGUGUAGUAUCUGUUCUUAUCAGCUUAAUAUCUGAUACGCCCCUCACCGGGGGGCUACGAUAUUAAACUGAUUUUUGAAAUCCAGGCGAA
rnacentral:snRNA from 1 species